rnacentral:rRNA from 1 species
UGAGGAAUUUUCUGCAAUGGGCGAAAGCCUGACAGAGCAAUACCGCGUGAGGGAUGACAGCCUAUGGGUUGUAAACCUCUUUUUUCAAGGAAGAAGUUCUGACGUUACUUGAGGAAUAAGCAUCGGCUAACUCUGUGCCAGCAGCCGCGGUAAUACAGGGGAUGCAAGCGUUAUCCGAAAUUAUUGGGCGUAAAGGGUCCGUAGGUAGAUUUUUAAGUCUUUUGUUAAAUCUUUAAGCUUAACUUAAAAAAGGCAAAAGAUACUUACUAUCUAGAGUAUAACAGAGGUAAAGGGAAUUUUCAGUGGAGCGGUGAAAUGUGUAGAGAUUGAAAGGAAGACCAAAGGCGAAAGCACUUUACUGGGUUAAUACUGACACUGAGGGACGAAAGCUAGGGGAGCA